rnacentral:rRNA from 1 species
CAAUAGCGUAUAUUAAAGUUGUUGCAGUUAAAAAGCUCGUAGUUGGAUCUGUGGUGUGCGGUGGGCUCCGGGCACUUGUUGUCUGAGUAGCUCGCCGCUGCCAUCCUUGGGUGGAACCUGUGUGGCAUUAGGUUGUCGUGCAGGGGAUGCCCAUCGUUUACUGUGAAAAAAUUAGAGUGUUCAAAGCAGGCUUAUGCCGUUGAAUAUAUUAGCAUGGAAUAAUGAGAUAGGACUUUUUCGCUAUUUUGUUGGUUUGCGCGAAGAGGUAAUGAUUAAUAGGGACAGUUGGGGGUAUUCGUAUUCCAUUGUCAGAGGUGAAAUUCUUGGAUUUUUGGAAGACGAACUACUGCGAAAGCAUUUACCAAGGAUGUCUUCAUUAA